UUUAUGGAGAGUUUGAUCCUGGCUCAGGAUGAACGCUGGCGGCGUGCCUAAUACAUGCAAGUCGAGCGAACAGAUAAGGAGCUUGCUCCUUUGACGUUAGCGGCGGACGGGUGAGUAACACGUGGGUAACCUACCUAUAAGACUGGAAUAACUCCGGGAAACCGGGGCUAAUGCCGGAUAACAUGUUGAACCGCAUGGUUCUACAGUGAAAGACGGUCUUGCUGUCACUUAUAGAUGGACCCGCGCCGUAUUAGCU
rnacentral:rRNA from 1 species